AUCACUUCUUAGCCUUUUGGCUAAGACCAGUAUAGUACCUGUUCUUAUCAAUUUAAUAUCUGAUAUAUCCUCUAUUUGAGGACAAUAUAUUAAAUGAAUUUUUGGAAGUAGGAGUUGGAAUAGGAGCCUACUCUAUCCACUCCACAUAUCAAUC
rnacentral:snRNA from 1 species